UUCUGUCUUCACUUCAUGUCGAAUGGUGAGGACCCCAGAUGAGGAAUGAGCCCAAAGGUUAUAAAAUCAAUCUGAGAACAAAAAAAAGGGGGGGGAGGAUUUGCUUAAGAUUAGGAACAUUGGCCAUUGAAUCUGCCUUCUACAUCCUUCUCCUUGGGAGAGAAGGACCAGUUCCAGGGCAGGACGUAUUAUUUCUCCACAAUCUGCUUCCCCACGGCUGGAUCAGCCAUGAUCUCUGCUCCCACCUCAGUGAUCGGGAUUCUGUUACUAUUUGGGGGCACUUACGGAGAUUCAGUGACCCAGCCGGAAGGACACAUCACCCUCCCUGAGGGAGCACGGCUCACACUGGACUGUUCUUAUCAGACCAGUGGAGCACCUUAUCUCUUCUGGUAUAUCCAGUAUCCCAAUGAAGCUCUCAAGCUCCUCCUGAAAGAGACAUCAGGAAAAGACCAGGAGAAGGACAACAAUGGAUUUUGGGCCACAAAGAUUAAGGAAAAGUCUUUCUUCCACCUGGAGAAAACUUCAGUCCAAAUGGGAGAUGCUGCUGUGUACUAUUGUGUUCUGAGUGACACAGUGAUGGGGACUGCAGGGGGAGCUGAACACAAACUCUGA